AAUGCAACCUGGGUAAGUGAGUUUAUCCUCAUUGGUCUCUCCACUGACAAACACAUCCAAGCUGCACUUUUUGUCCUCUUUGGGGUCACCUACCUAGUGACUCUGCUGGGCAAUGGACUCAUUGUCCUGCUGAUUACACUGGACCCACGACUCCAUCUGCCCAUGUAUUUCUUCCUCUGUCACCUGUCAGUGGUAGACAUCUGCUACACCUCCGGUGGGGUCCCCCAGAUGUUGGCACACUUCCUCAUGGAGAAGAAAACCAUCUCUUUUGCCUUAUGUGCAACCCAGCACUUCUUCACUCUGGCCCUAGGAGGAACUGAAUUUCUGCUGCUGGCUGCCAUGGCCUAUGACCGCUAUGUGGCUGUCUGUGAUCCACUAAGGUACACAGUGGUGAUGAGCCCAAGGCUCUGCAUGGGUCUAGCAGGUAUCUCUUGGUUUGUGGGUGUAGUUAAUUCUGCUGUGGAGACAGCAGUCACCAUGCGCCUUCCCACCUGUGGGCACAAUGUGCUCAACCAUGUGGCCUGUGAGACACUGGCACUGGUCAGGCUGGCCUGUGUGGACAUCACCCUCAACCAAGUGGUGAUACUGGUUUCUAGUGUGGUGGUGCUGCUGGUGCCCUGCUCCCUGGUCUCUCUGUCCUAUGCCCACAUUGUGGCUGCCAUCAUGAAGAUCCGCUCUACCCAGGGACGCCGCAAAGCCUUCGGUACUUGUGCCUCCCACCUGACUGUGGUCUCCAUGUCUUAUGGGAUGGCCCUUUUCACACACAUGGAGCCCACCUCCACAGCCUCUGCUGAGCAGGAUAAGGUGGUGGUGGUUUUCUAUGCUGUGGUCACCCCCAUGCUGAAUCCUCUCAUCUACAGUCUGAGGAACAAGGAUGUGAAGGCUGCCUUCAGUCGAGUUCUGAUUAAGAGCUUUGAGUAAAAAAAUUAG